GCCGGGCGCGGUGGCACACGCCUGUUGUCCCAGCUACUUGGGAGGCUGAGACAGGAGGAUCGCUUGAGUCCAGGAAUUCUGGGCUGUAGUGCACUAUGCCGAUCGGGUGUCCGCACAAAGUUCGGCAUCAAUAUGGUGACCUCCCGGGAGCUGGGGACCACCAGGUUGCCUAAGGAGGGGUGAACCGGCCCAGGUCGGAAACGGAGCACGUCAGAUAUGAACCCUGGCCAUCCCUCUUUACCAUCCCCAGAUGAAAGGUAAACUUAGAAAGAAUAACCAGCAUGCUCAAAUUUCU
rnacentral:SRP_RNA from 1 species